CUCUAUGGCGGCUGUGCGUGGGGCAUCCUCGGAUGCGCCGGGUUCCUACACUUCCGGUCUGUCAACCCGCGUACAGCUGCCACCCAA
rfam:Pseudomonas chlororaphis subsp. aureofaciens 30-84 chromosome, whole genome shotgun sequence.